AKCGGCAGGCUACACAUGCAGUCGAGCGGGCKRRKKURSYUYGSUAMCUWGACGCUAGCGGCGGACGGGUGAGUAAUGCUUAGGAAUCUGCCUAUUAGUGGGGGACAACAUUCCGAAAGGAAUGCUAAUACCGCAUACGCCCUACGGGGGAAAGCAGGGGAUCUUCGGACCUUGCGCUAAUAGAUGAGCCUAAGUCAGAUUAGCUAGUUGGUGGGGUAAAGGCCUACCAAGGCGACGAUCUGUAGCGGGUCUGAGAGGAUGAUCCGCCACACUGGGACUGAGACACGGCCCAGACUCCUACGGGAGGCAGCAGUGGGGAAUAUUGGACAAUGGGCGMAAGCCUGAUCCAGCCAUGCCGCGUGUGUGAAGAAGGCCUUUUGGUUGUAAAGCACUUUAAGCGAGGAGGAGGCUACUUGGAUUAAUACUCUAGGAUAGUGGACGUUACUCGCAGAAUAAGCACCGGCUAACUCUGUGCCAGCAGCCGCGGUAAUACAGAGGGUGCGAGCGUUAAUCGGAUUUACUGGGCGUAAAGCGUGCGUAGGCGGCUUYUUAAGUCGGAUGUGAAAUCCCUGAGCUUAACUUAGGAAUUGCAUUCGAUACUGGGAAGCUAGAGUAUGGGARAGGAUGGUARAAUUCCAGGUGUASGRAAARARGGKGRAAAAAAA
rnacentral:rRNA from 1 species